GGGCCCAUAGUUUUAACUGGUAAAACAGCGGUCUCCAAAACCGUAGUUCUCCGUUCGAACCGGAGUGGGCCUGCCA
rnacentral:tRNA from 1 species